CGGAGACCAGAAUUACGAGGGGGGCUCCGAAAUUGAACUCUGGUCUCACCGUGUCUCACUGUGUCGUGAUAUCUACAUCUGGUGACCUCGACGUGAUUCAGAACAAACACCCUCGUACCCACUGGCAGGAUCAGCCAACGGUGCACCUCAGCGUACAGCUCCCAUUCGUAGCUGCAGUACUGGCAGAAGUGACCAGGGAGAAACCGGUUCCGGCAUUUUCAGCAGUCGGAGUCUCUACCUGCCCCGCGGGUGCAGUUUCGGCAACUACCAAAUCCAGAGUGGAAAGGCCCAGUUCCGCUUAUAACGUGGGGUCGAGGUUACGCGGCUGUGUCUACGCCUGACGGUCCUGUGUGGGUACCUGCUAGGUGUAUCCGGCCCUGGAAAGACGAUGUCCUGGCACGAUAAUCUUAAGAAUCCCAUCCCUAAUUUUUCUCUGCAACUUCAGGAUACUGGGAUGUCUUCCAGGAAGCGUGGUCGGAAUGUUCCGCAACCUCCCGUGACUUGGGGCCAAAUAAAGAACUUAGCAACACAAGCAGAAAAAGCAAUGGAACAAGCCGGGGUGGACAAGACAACUGAGAAUACCAUUCUUGCUUUAAUUGCGUCUUUAAAUACAAAUUCUAUUUUUGUACUUUGCAUUUGUUGGAUUUUAGGAAGCGCCGGGGCUGACAGGUUGGGGCAGGAGUUGGGGAUGCGGUUUCAACACAAUAUCUGGGUUCAGUUAGCAAGAAUGACAAAUGUGAGUGACUUUUGCAUGACUGAACAUGUACAGGAAAUGGGUAUGUUGGGAACAUGUUUAAUACCCGUAUGCAAAGCACCUGGGGAUAUUGGGAACAUUACAGGACUUGGGCGGUUCAUGAAUACUUCAGAGAUUAAAUAUCAUACUGUUUCGAAUUGGGGAACUCCAACCUUCCAGCUGCCUGUUAAUGCUUUUCAAUUAUUUACAUCACAUGUUGCAAAUUCCAUUAAUAAUACGUGUGCUCGGAUGGUU